rfam:Candidatus Atelocyanobacterium thalassa isolate ALOHA, complete genome.
ACACAUAUGUCAAAUAUGGAUGAUUAUCAUUUAUAAUGUGAUGUUAAUAAUGGGGCUAUAGCUCAGUUGGAUAGAGCAAGCGCCUCCUGAAGUUCGGGCAUUCUGAUUGGAAACAUCAGACAUGAAUGUGGUCAAAUUCAAGGAAACCUAAGUUCUUAUUGGGAUAAGGCAAUCUUGAGCCAAGCUCUAAACCCCUUUUUAGAGAAGGUGCAGAGACUGGUUAUCAGCAUUUAGGGAAAAGUUUUAAUUUAAAAAGCUGAUAGCAUUACGGCCACCACCUAAGGAUAAAUACUAUCUAGGGUGAAGGGAUAGUCCAGAGAGUAAGGAAACUUACAC